ensembl:lncRNA PRDM16-DT PRDM16 divergent transcript
CCCGCGAGGCUCCUGGCCUUGCCCUCCCUGCCCUUUGUUGUGUAAUAAGACCUGUGGCGGCUCCACUGAGACCCACACGUGCAACUCCGCGCCUCCGCGUUAAAGGAGGUGAAACGCAGCAGCCCUGAGAAACCCCGAGACCCCGGUGUCCUAGCAGAGGCGCCCCGGAUGGGGAGGGGCGCGGGGCCGGCGCCACCCCAGAGGAAAAGCCCAGCGGAGCCGGGUUGGGCAGGAGCUGGCGGCGGCGGUGCGCUGGGCCUUCUGCCUUGGAUCCUCCGCGGUCGGCACCGCUUCCCUGCUCAGAUUCGAACCCAGAUUCGGCUCCCAAGGCUCCCACGGCUCCAGGGUGCCCAGUCUUGCAGCCAGCUCGCCGCCCGAGCCCCGGAUGGAGGAAGCGCUCACUGGCCGCUACCUCUGCUGUUUCUGGCACCAGAGAUUGAGACUGUGAACCUGAACUCCCUUGAUCUCCUCCCGUUGGGCCCAGGAGGGAGCCGAAUCCAGGCCCAACCGGGCUCACUGAGAAGGUGCAGGAAGCCCCCAACGACUCCUACUCGUGUGCGGCCCAUACUGGGCCAGGACGCUGCAGUGGCCGAGCCGCUGGGUGUCUGCAACGGGGAGCUCCCCCGCCGCUGGGGGCAAUAAACGGAAUCGGUUUCACACGCUU